rnacentral:rRNA from 1 species
CCUACGGGAGGCUGCAGUGGGGAAUAUUGGACAAUGGGCGAAAGCCUGAUCCAGCCAUGCCGCGUGUGUGAAGAAGGCCUUCGGGUUGUAAAGCACUUUCAGUGGGGAAGAAAGCCUUGGGGCUAAUACCCUCGAGGAAGGACAUCACCCACAGAAGAAGCACCGGCUAACUCCGUGCCAGCAGCCGCGGUAAUACGGAGGGUGCGAGCGUUAAUCGGAAUUACUGGGCGUAAAGCGCGCGUAGGCGGUCUGAUAAGCCGGUUGUGAAAGCCCCGGGCUCAACCUGGGAACGGCAUCCGGAACUGUCAGGCUAGAGUGCAGGAGAGGAAGGUAGAAUUCCCGGUGUAGGAGUGAAAUGCGUAGAGAUCGGGAGGAAUACCAGUGGCGAAGGCGGCCUUCUGGACUGACACUGACGCUGAGGUGCGAAAGCGUGGGUAGCAAACAGGAUUAGAUACCCGUGUAGUC